rnacentral:tRNA from 1 species
GCCCUGGUAGCUCAGGGGAUAGAGCAGAUGACUUCUAAUCUUCGUGUCGCCGGUUCGAAUCCGGCUCAGGGCA